GGCAGUCUGGUGUAAAGAAGCAUGGUGCCCUGCACAGGCACACGGUGCAGGUUCAAGUCCUGCUGCUGCCCC
rnacentral:tRNA from 1 species